CCGCUUUCCCCGUAACCAGGGAGACUGCAGUUUGCAGUGAUGUGGCUAAGAUACCCUUGUGCUAUUAAAGGCACAUUUACGUAUCUUUCAACGCAGUUUGUACCUUUGUUUAGGGUUCUAUUGAACUUUCUCUGUGCUCUUUAGAAAACCGUCGAAUAAAGAACUCAAAUGAUGCUGUUUUUGGACAGGGAGGUCAUGGACCAAGUACAAAGCGGCAAAAGGAUGGAAUUAAGGUACCUGACAUUGUUGAACCCAUGCCUGAUGCCACAUUAGCUCAGGACUACCUACAUGGACAUGGAUAUUUCCAGUGAAAGAAAGAAGAAAGCAUGCUUUUCUCUUGACUGUGCAGAAAAAAAAACUAUGUUUCUUUGAUUCUCCAUUUUACUAGAUGCCAUACCUUUGCAAUUACUUCAUGUGGAGUCUUGACCAAGAUUCAGGAAAUACUAGAACUUUCAGUCCCAGAAGGUUACUCUGGGCAUUACUAGUCCCCAUCAUUAUGAGUUGAGUUUUACUAGUUAAUUUCAGACGAAAAAUAUUUGUUUUUCCCCAAAUUCUGGGGUUACGUACUUUUACUACCUAUGAACUGACAACUGUAUCUUCAGUAAUUACAAUUUCCAACAAAAUGUUAUAGGAAUAAAGAAAAGAUGUUAGUUCAUUAUUCAGAGUUUAUGUUUAUUCCUUUAAUAAAAAGAAAUGGUCUGUAUUUCUUCUUUUCACAUUUAUUUCCUCAGUUCAAACCUGCUUUUCAGG
rnacentral:lncRNA from 10 species